rnacentral:rRNA from 1 species
AUCCAGACUCCUACGGGAGGCAGCAGUGAGGAAUAUUGGUCAAUGGACGAGAGUCUGAACCAGCCAAGUAGCGUGAAGGAUGACUGCCCUAUGGGUUGUAAACUUCUUUUAUAAAGGAAUAAAACGAGGCACGUGUGCCUUUUUGCAUGUACUUUAUGAAUAAGGAUCGGCUAACUCCGUGCCAGCAGCCGCGGUAAUACGUAGGGGGCAAGCGUUAUCCGGAUUUACUGGGUGUAAAGGGAGCGUAGACGGAUGGAUAAGUCUGAAGUGAAAGCCCGCGGCUCAACUGCGGGACUGCUUUGGAAACUGUGCAUCUUGAGUACGGGAGGGGCAGGCGGAAUUCCUGGUGUAGCGGUGAAAUGCGUAGAUAUCAGGAGGAACACCGGCGGCGAAGGCGGCCUGCUGGACGACAACUGACGGUGAGGCGCGAAAGCGUGGGGAGCAAACAGGAUUAGAUACCCCGGUAAAC